rnacentral:lncRNA from 1 species
UAUUACAGGUGCAUUUACAUUAUAAAUCGUUUGGAAAGGAAGAAAUGGCCGCUUAAGGAAGGUGACCUACGCUCUAUAUAUACAUGUAACCGGAUGUUUUAAAUUGCAUAUCACAUACACUACAAUUUUAAAACAGUUUACAUAUAUUUUAUUCUUUCUAACUCUAAUAGUGCAAAGCUGUUUCUUAUUUUGUUUCUAUUGUUUUCCUGUGUCUUUGGUAUUGUCAGCUUGGGUUGUGUUCACCCUCAACUCAGUGUUCAGGCCAGGUAAUCGUUCAGUAGUAAGCUCAUCUAUUGUUUCUUUUGUUACCUGGUGUUCUCUGGAGUCAGAGACUUUUAAACAUUCAAGCAAGACAGGUGGUUUUCAGCAUUGCAAGUUUUAUAGUUGAUCAAGUUCUGCACGGCACAGUUAUUAACAGCACAGGGUCGUUAUAGAGAUAUAUAUUUGUGUGCGAAUGUUUUUAUAAACAUCGGGAUCUUCACAUCCCUCCAGGUGAUCCCUGAAUAAAGACCUUAAACCCCA